GGCAAGGCCAGCAUCGCCACCGCCACCCGCCCGGCCGGGAGACUCCAGCGCCAGCGCCACCCCACGGCAAGGCCAGCAUCGCCUCUCAGAUAACCACAAAGUAGAUUAUUUAUCUGGCUCAUAAUUACUCCCAAUAUUGAGGAAUGUUUCACCCGAUGCCGGAGUUCCAUCUUCACGGCAAGAGGGCCCUGAAAAUCAUCGGACUGGCUGCACGGCCACAAAUGAGCCCCGACCUCGGGUGUUUCACAGAGGAAGAGGACUUAACGUUCUGGUGCCUUUCCCCACAUUGGAAAUUUUUGAUUCUGCUGUGGGGAUGUUUCAGGCCACACCGUACACAGAGUUCCAGUCAUUAACUUAAUCAAAUGAAGUUACUGUCAGUGACGACUACCAUCAAUGAAGCAGUGGACUGGUGGCUCCAAACCAUGGUCAAUGGUGCUGCUUUUGAAUAGAGCUUUUGAGUACAGCUGCGAAUUAAAAAGAAUUCAAGAUCCACAAUAGUUGCCAGUUGAUUUGAACUCCAAAGCGUAAUUGAAAGUGUAAUGUUACAGUUUUGAACAAUGCCUUUGAAUUUGAAGAAAGCUUUCACUGUGGUGAAUAUAAAUAAUACCUUUUCAUAUUGCUGUAUUUGUCCGUUUUGGUAUGGUAUAUUAUUCACUGUGCACUAAUGAUGUUCUUUCAUUUACAGAAAAGGAUCAUAUGUUCAGAGAUGUAUGUUCAGGGACUAGCAGUAAAAUAAUGUUCAAGUUCUGGGAACUUUCUGCUUAGUUAACCAAUAUUCUUGAACUUUUGGGCAAUACAGAUAUUAGUUUGAGAGAACACAUAGUACUCUCCUGUUUACAAAUCAUCUUAAAAUAACUUGCUACCAUACAGAAAGUGUAAGUGUGGUUAUU